GAUGAAAUCGCUGUUGAUCUUCGAGUACUCCAUCUUGAGCGAGACGUAGAGCUGGCCGCCGUCCUCGCGGACGCCGUCGGAGUCGCCCGGGUUCUUCGAUGAUCCCGUCCCCAUUGUUGAUCGCUUCGAGCUGGAUUGAUGAUGGAGGAGGCGGAUGGGGAGGGGAUUGGGGUUUUGGGUGGUGGAGAGAUGGGUGAGGGAUUACGACUGGCGAUGGCGCGCGGGGGAAGUGGUGAUGGGAGCUGCGUUGAG
rnacentral:misc_RNA from 1 species